rnacentral:rRNA from 1 species
AUUGAACGCUGGCGGCAGGCCUAACACAUGCAAGUCGAGCGGAUGACGGGAGCUUGCUCCUUGAUUCAGCGGCGGACGGGUGAGUAAUGCCUAGGAAUCUGCCUGGUAGUGGGGGACAACGUUUCGAAAGGAACGCUAAUACCGCAUACGUCCUACGGGAGAAAGCAGGGGACCUUCGGGCCUUGCGCUAUCAGAUGAGCCUAGGUCGGAUUAGCUUGUUGGUGAGGUAAUGGCUCACCAAGGCAACGAUCCGUAACUGGUCUGAGAGGAUGAUCAGUCAAACUGGAACUGAGACACGGUCCAGACUCCUACGGGAGGCAGCAGUGGGGAAUAUUGGACAAUGGGCGAAAGCCUGAUCCAGCCAUGCCGCGUGUGUGAAGAAGGUCUUCGGAUUGUAAAGCACUUUAAGUUGGGAGGAAGGGUUGUAGAUUAAUACUCUGCAAUUUUGACGUUACCGACAGAAUAAGCACCGGCUAACUCUGUGCCAGCAGCCGCGGUAAGAC